rnacentral:rRNA from 1 species
CAGUCGCCGCGGUAAUACAGAGGAUGCAAGCGUUAUCCGGAAUGAUUGGGCGUAAAGCGUCUGUAGGUGGCUUUUCAAGUCAGUCGUCAAAUCCCUGGGCUCAACCCUGGACAAGCAGUGGAAACUACCAAGCUGGAGUACGGUAGGGGUAGAGGGAAUUCCCGGUGGAGCGGUGAAAUGCGUUGAGAUCGGGAAGAACACCAACGACGAAAGCACUCUGCUGGGCCGACACUGAUACUGAGAGACGAAAGCUAGGGGAGCAAAUGGGAUUAGAGACCCGCGUAGUCCCUGUCUCUUAUAC